rnacentral:rRNA from 1 species
GACGAACGCUGGCGGCGUGGAUUAGGCAUGCAAGUCGGACGGUAGGGCUUUAUCGUAAGAUAGAGUUUGAGAGUGGCGAACGGGUGAGUAACACGUAGGAAUCUACCCUUAAGACGGGGACAACCCAGGGAAACUUGGGCUAAUACCGGAUGAGAGUGCGAGAGAUUGCAUUUAAAAGGAUGGCGAAAGUUGUCGCUUAGGGAUGAGCCUGCGGUCUAUUAGUUAGUUGGUGAGGUAAGAGCUCACCAAGGCGAUGAUAGAUAGGCGGCCUUAACGGGUGUCGCCCACACUGGGAUUGAGAUACGGCCCAGACUCCUACGGGAGGCAGCAGUCGAGAAUAGUCUACAAUGGUCGAAGACUGAUAGUGCGACGCCGCGUGAACGAUGAAUCCCUUCGGGGUGUAAAGUUCUUUUAAUAUGUGAGCAGUGCUUCUUAUAUUAACAGUAUGGGGAGAGAGAUAUUAGCAUAUGAAUAAGCAAACGGCUAAACUCCGUGCC